UACGUAGGGUGCAAGCGUUGUCCGGAAUUAUUGGGCGUAAAGGGCUCGUAGGCGGUCCAUCGCGUCGGGAGUGAAAAGCUGGGGCUUAACCCCAGUCCUGCUUCCGAUACGGGUGGACUAGAGGUAGGUAGGGGAGAACGGAAUUCCUGGUGUAGCGGUGAAAUGCGCAGAUAUCAGGAGGAACACCAGCGGCGAAGGCGGCGCUCUGGGCUGGAACUGACGCUGAGGAGCGAAAGCGUGGGGAGCGAACAGG
rnacentral:rRNA from 1 species